rnacentral:rRNA from 1 species
GACGAACGCUGGCGGCGUGCUUAACACAUGCAAGUCGAACGGAAAGGCCCUGCUUUUGUGGGGUGCUCGAGUGGCGAACGGGUGAGUAACACGUGAGUAACCUGCCCUUGACUUUGGGAUAACUUCAGGAAACUGGGGCUAAUACCGGAUAGGAGCUCCUGCUGCAUGGUGGGGGUUGGAAAGUUUCGGCGGUUGGGGAUGGACUCGCGGCUUAUCAGCUUGUUGGUGGGGUAGUGGCUUACCAAGGCUUUGACGGGUAGCCGGCCUGAGAGGGUGACCGGCCACAUUGGGACUGAGAUACGGCCCAGACUCCUACGGGAGGCAGCAGUGGGGAAUAUUGCACAAUGGGCGGAAGCCUGAUGCAGCAACGCCGCGUGCGGGAUGACGGCCUUCGGGUUGUAAACCGCUUUCGCCUGUGACGAAGCGUGAGUGACGGUAAUGGGUAAAGAAGCACCGGCUAACUACGUGCCAGCAGCCGCGGUGAUACGUAGGGUGCGAGCGUUGUCCGGAUUUAUUGGGCGUAAAGGGCUCGUAGGUGGUUGAUCGCGUCGGAAGUGUAAUCUUGGGGCUUAACCCUGAGCGUGCUUUCGAUACGGGUUGACUUGAGGAAGGUAGGGGAGAAUGGAAUUCCUGGUGGAGCGGUGGAAUGCGCAGAUAUCAGGAGGAACACCAGUGGCGAAGGCGGUUCUCUGGGCCUUUCCUGACGCUGAGGAGCGAAAGCGUGGGGAGCGAACAGGCUUAGAUACCCUGGUAGUCCACGCUGUAAACGGUGGGUACUAGGUGUAGGGUCCAUUCCACGGGUUCCGUGCCGUAGCUAACGCUUUAAGUACCCCGCCUGGGGAGUACGGCCGCAAGGCUAAAACUCAAAGGAAUUGACGGGGCCCCGCACAAGCGGCGGAGCAUGCGGAUUAAUUCGAUGCAACGCGUAGAACCUUACCUGGGUUUGACAUGGAUCGGGAGUGCUCAGAGAUGGGUGUGCCUCUUUUGGGGUCGGUUCACAGGUGGUGCAUGGCUGUCGUCAGCUCGUGUCGUGAGAUGUUGGGUUAAGUCCCGCAACGAGCGCAACCCUUGUUCACUGUUGCCAGCACGUUAUGGUGGGGACUCAGUGGAGACCGCCGGGGUCAACUCGGAGGAAGGUGGGGAUGACGUCAAGUCAUCAUGCCCCUUAUGUCCAGGGCUUCACGCAUGCUACAAUGGCUGGUACAGAGAGUGGCGAGCCUGUGAGGGUGAGCGAAUCUCAGAAAGCCGGUCUCAGUUCGGAUUGGGGUCUGCAACUCGACCUCAUGAAGUCGGAGUCGCUAGUAAUCGCAGAUCAGCAACGCUGCGGUGAAUACGUUCCCGGG